GACGAACGCUGGCGGCGUGCUUAACACAUGCAAGUCGAACGAAGUGGCGAACGGGUGAGUAACGCGUAAUUAACCUGCCCUUCAGAGGGGGACAACAGUUGGAAACGACUGCUAAUACCGCAUACUGAAGGAGGGGAUUGCGUCUGAUUAGCUAGUUGGAGGGGUAACGGCCCACCAAGGCGAUGAUCAGUAGCCUGUCUUGCAUGAGGAACGGCCACAUCUGGACUGGGACACGGCCCAAACUCCUACGGGAGGCAGCAGUGGGGGAUCUUCCGCAAUGGACGAAAGGCUGACUGGGCAACGCCGCGUGAUGUAUGACGGCCUUCGGGUUGUAAAGCUCUGUUAAUCGGGACGCGGUACCUGAAUAGAAAGCCACGGCUAACUACGUGCCAGCCGCCGCGGUAAUAC
rnacentral:rRNA from 1 species